GCAGAACGCGAAGAACCUUACCUGGCCUUGACAUGUCUGGAAUCCCGAAGAGAUUUGGGAGUGCCGCAAGGAACCAGAACACAGGUGCUGCAUGGCUGUCGUCAGCUCGUGUCGUGAGAUGUUGGGUUAAGUCCCGCAACGAGCGCAACCCUUGUCCUUAGUUGCCAUCAUUAAGUUGGGAACUCUAAGGAGACCGCCGGUGACAAACCGGAGGAAGGUGGGGAUGACGUCAAGUCAUCAUGGCCUUUAUGGCCAGGGCUACACACGUGCUACAAUGGCAAGUACAGAGGGAAGCCAACCGGCGACGGGGAGCUAAUCCCAGAAAACUUGUCUUAGUCCGGAUUGGAGUCUGCAACUCGACUCCAUGAAGUUGGAAUCGCUAGUAAUCGCAGAUCAGCAUUGCUGCGGUGAACACGUUCCCGGGUCUUGUACACACCG
rnacentral:rRNA from 1 species